GCAGCUGUGAUGAAAUGAAACAAUAGAAGGGCAUGCCGCUCUAUUAGACUUUUUACGGUACAUGGCUAU
rnacentral:snoRNA from 16 species